GCAUCCGCUCGGUGUACCCCUUACAUUUCAUUAAAGUGUCAAAAGGGCCUCUACGUGUUGGCUUCGGCUCCGCGCACGCCUCCCAAAGGUCCGGAACACCAUUGUUCCGUGAUGGGAAAGACAUACAUUAAUAAUGACUAUUGUUGCCAAUAAGCCUGACAUCGUGCUGAUAGAUCGAUCGCAGCGCCGGGCCGUGCUCGCCGACGUCACCAUC